rnacentral:rRNA from 1 species
CCUACGGGAGACAGCAGUGAGGAAUAUUGGUCAAUGGACGAGAGUCUGAACCAGCCAAGUAGCGUGAAGGAUGACUGCCCUAUGGUUUGUAAACUUCUUUUAUAUGGGAAUAAAAUGUUCCACGUGUGGGAUUUUGUAUGUACCAUAUGAAUAAGGAUCGGCUAACUCCGUGCCAGCAGCCGCGGUAAUACGGAGGGUCCGAGCGUUAUCCGGAUUUAUUGGGUUUAAAGGGUGCGUAGGUGGAUUGUUAAGUCAGUUGUGAAAGUUUGCGGCUCAACCGUAAAAUUGCAGUUGAAACUGGCAGUCUUGAGUGUGGUAGAGGUAGGCGGAAUUCGUGGUGUAGCGGUGAAAUGCGUAGAUAUCACGAAGAACACCGAUUGCGAAGGCAGUUCACUGGACUGUAACUGACACUGAGGCACGAAAGCGUGGGGAGCAAACAGGAUUAGAUACCCUAGUAGUC